rnacentral:lncRNA from 1 species
AGCUGAACCUCCCUUUGGCCUUUGCACUUUGAAACCAAUUCACACAAGCACAUUCCCUCAAAAACCCUCAUUUGACUUGCAAAAACUCAGCACCAGUCAAAGAGAAAAACAAAAGAGAUUGUAAAGAUAUGAAGAUUGUGAGCAAUUCCACCAUGGCAGGCAGCAAGAGAAGGCUUUCUUCAAGCAAAGGACUUGGAGGGGUCCUCAGAGAGCAAAGAGCCAGGCUUUACAUCAUAAGGAGGUGUGUGGUCAUGCUCCUUUGCUGGCAUGAUUAAUUCAAGUCCUAGCUAAAGUUUUAAACGUCCCAAUAGUCCAUGGCAUGAUGGGCAAGAAGAUUUUGGUUCCUUUUUUCUUCUUCUUAAUUUCCCCCCUUUUUUUGUAUCUUGAUCUUCUUGGUUGAGUGUAAAUAGCAGCAAUGUUCUUCUGUCAGGAAGUUGAAACAAAAUUUUGUAUGGGUUGGCCUUGCGGGGCUAGAUAUGUACAUCGGAUAGCAUAAUAUAAAGUUUGAUAUUUAUA